AAAGGUCUUCGGCCAAGCUGGGCAUUCUAUCUGCGUGAGUAGCAUAUGAAACUGAACCCCCUAUGUGUCUAGAAAUGCCCACCCCAACUCCUAUCUCACUACGGCGGUUAGUAGUGAACUGAUGGCUACUGGCUUUGAACUCUGGGCUACUCUAUGCCUCCUUCCAUUUUUGCAUUAUACUAUUAGGUACGAUGACCUUGGAUUUUCCUUUCCUGACAUUGCACAUUAG
rnacentral:misc_RNA from 1 species